rnacentral:rRNA from 1 species
UACGCAGGGCGCAAGCGUUAUCCGGAAUUACUGGGUUUAAAGGGUGCGUAGGCGGCGUAGUAAGUCAGGAGUGAAAGUUUGCGGCUCAACCGUAAAAUUGCUUUUGAUACUGCUAUGCUAGAAUUAGGAUGAGGUCAGCGGAGUGUGGCAUGUAGCGGUGAAAUGCAUAGAUAUGCCAUAGAACACCAAUUGCGAAGGCAGCUGGCUAGACCUGGAUUGACGCUGAGGCACGAAAGCGUGGGGAGCGAACAGG